GACGAACGCUGGCGGCGUGCCUAAUACAUGCAAGUCGAACGCUUUGAUUUUCACCGGAGCUUGCUCCACCGAAAAUCAAAGAGUGGCGGACGGGUGAGUAACACGUGGGCAACCUGCCCAACAGAGGGGGAUAACACUUGGAAACAGGUGCUAAUACCGCAUAAUUUGUUUUCCUGCAUGGGAGAAUAAUAAAAGACGCUUCGGUGUCACUGUUGGAUGGGCCCGCGCUGCAUUAGUUAGUUGGUGGGGUAAUGGCCUACCAAGACCGUGAUGCAUAGCCGACCUGAGAGGGUGAUCGGCCACACUGGGACUGAGACACGGCCCAGACUCCUACGGGAGGCAGCAGUAGGGAAUCUUCGGCAAUGGACGAAAGUCUGACCGAGCAACGCCGCGUGAGUGAAGAAGGUUUUCGGAUCGUAAAACUCUGUUGUUAGAGAAGAACAAGUGGGAGAGUAACUGUUCCCACCUUGACGGUAUCUAACCAGAAAGCCACGGCUAACUACGUGCCAGCAGCCGCGGUAAUACGUAGGUGGCAAGCGUUGUCCGGAUUUAUUGGGCGUAAAGCGAGCGCAGGCGGUUUCUUAAGUCUGAUGUGAAAACCCUCGGCUCAACCGAGGAAGGUCAUUGGAAACUGGGGAACUUGAAUGCAGAAGAGGAGAGUGGAAUUCCAUGUGUAGCGGUGAAAUGCGUAGAUAUAUGGAGGAACACCAGUGGCGAAGGCGACUCUCUGGUCUGUAAUUGACGCUGAGGCUCGAAAGCGUGGGGAGCAAACAGG
rnacentral:rRNA from 1 species